rnacentral:rRNA from 1 species
AUUGAACGCCGGCGGCAUGCCUUACACAUGCAAGUCGAACGGCAGCGCGGACUUCGGUCUGGCGGCGAGUGGCGAACGGGUGAGUAAUACAUCGGAACGUACCCUGUUGUGGGGGAUAACUAGUCGAAAGAUUAGCUAAUACCGCAUACGACCUGAGGGUGAAAGUGGGGGACCGCAAGGCCUCACGCAGCAGGAGCGGCCGAUGUCUGAUUAGCUAGUUGGUGGGGUAAAGGCCCACCAAGGCGACGAUCAGUAGCUGGUCUGAGAGGACGAUCAGCCACACGGGGACUGAGACACGGCCCAGAUUCCUACGGGAGGCAGCAGUGGGGAAUUUUGGACAAUGGGGGCAACCCUGAUCCAGCAAUGCCGCGUGUGUGAAGAAGGCCUUCGGGUUGUAAAGCACUUUUGUCCGGAAAGAAAUCGCGCUGGUUAAUACCUGGCGUGGAUGACGGUACCGGAAGAAUAAGCACCGGCUAACUACGUGCCAGCCGCCGCUGUAA